UUGUUUAUUCCUGUUUGUUUAAAAGCUGCUUUCUAGCUGAUAAUGCUUCUAGUCACCCUUUUUUUUGUUGUUGUUGUUUGAAAGCUGAAGUCCUGCAGGCACAGUAAAUUUUUAUUUGCUAUUUAAAUUCAUUUGUUUUACAAUGCAUCUCGUUUUGACAGAGCUUUCCAGGUCACUUUUAUUUACCUAUGUAUGCAUACACAUGCACAAACUUUCCCGCAGCGUCCUGCGGGGCCGACACCGGAGCCGCCGACCCGGCGGGCCGCCCCUGAAGUAAGCAGGGACGCGUCCCGCGGCUCCCCGCUGCUCUGCCGCCGGGGCCAGCGCUGCGUCCGCAAGGCACAGGCUGGCAGCCCGCAGAACGCCCGCUUUGGGUGACUGAGUAGGCUGCUGUUGAAAUGAGCUUUGUCAAGCGAUCGAAAGCUAAGGGAUAAGGAAACAACUUCGGCGAGGUAGCUGCGGUCCUGGCGCGGCUGCGAUGAAGACAAAAAGCCCUUCCCUCCUCCCGCGACCAAGCCCCGCGUCCCGCGGGGCCGGGCGAGCCGCCGCCACGCCGGCGAGGGGAGCGCAGGCAAAAAUCCCUUCCAUGACCAAGGAAGGAGGCAACGACGUUUUUACAGUCCUGAGAAGUGCCUGUUACUAGAAAUGAUUUUCACUUUGUUCCUGAAAAGUAUGCCAAGUUUACUGGUGUUUCCUGGUGAUGUAACAAAUAGAAGCAGGCAUGGCAGGAGGGAGCGGAGUUUUCCAGUGGAACAUGUGACAGCAGGGACCUGCUCCAGGAGUCUCAAUUGGGGCAUCUCUGAACGGGAGACUCUGGACCGGUGACUGGAAUUGUUUAGAAAAUACUAACUACAUGUGUGAGUUGCUGUAUGUAUAAGCCUGUACCAGACUCAUUCAGACUUGGUACUCUGAACAGACAAAGAAAUGGAACAAUAAUCAAGUGGAUGAAUUCUGAAUUCCAAGUUUUCAAGUGAAGAGAAACAAAGACAGUUGUUUGAGACCUAGAAAACCAAGAAGAGAGCUUCAGAUUGCUGUGAGAAUAGUAUUUUAAUUGUGUCAUGCCUCGGGUAACCCAGGAAAAAGAUUUAGUAAAAGAAAACACAGUAAGAUUGAAAGCAGCAUCACAAUGCAGGGAAAGAUUUUAAAACAUCAAUGUUAUGAACCAGUAACAAAAGGGCACAGGGUACUUGUAGUGAACAUGUGUUUUAGACAAUUUCCAGCCACUGGUCAGAAGUGGAAGUACUUUUAAAGAUAGCAGCCAAGCAUAUUAUAGAUUUUAAGCUCUCAAAAUACCUGAAAAACAUCCAAAAGUGUUUGGGAAACACUGUGAAAGCCAGUAUUUCUACAGUGAUUGUGAAUGUUUGAUCACAAAUAGGGUUUGACAGGCAAGAACAGACAAAUGUCAUAACAGAAGGUUAUGACUGUAAAGGUUUCUCUGUAAAGCAAAAUUUCUUAGCAGCAUUAGGCAGCAGUAAGCAAAAAUAUGGAAAAAAGAACGGGGGAAAAUAAUUUCAAGUUUAAAUUGGUUCAAGGAUAUCUCUUCUUACACUGAUGUCAAACGGUGACAAAUUAGGUCUCAGCUUUCCAAAAAUAAAAGGGACUCAAGUUGCUACAGUUAUAACAGUUAUUACAGUUAAAAAGUUAUAUUCCAGGCAGAAAAAGACACUAAUAUGUUUAUACAACUGAACUUAGAGAGUUAAGUAGCCAUCCUUCACAGAGACCCCACAGACAUUACUACACAACAGCAGACUUAUUAUGUGAGCAACAUACCAUUAAUAAAGAGACAAAAUCACUUGG